GGCAGCAUCCCUCCCGCGGGAUAGGGAAGGCCCGGCACAGACCUCUCUGCCUUGGCCGCCUGUCCCCUCCUUAGCGCCGGCUGUCCCGUGGGCGGCCGAGGAGAAGCGCCGCAUCUCCCGCCGGGAGCACUGAGAGGAAGGGCUCAAUAAGCAAAGAAAAUACCCAGUGUAAAUGUAUUAAGAUUUCCGAUGAAAUCAAGAAAAAAGAGUAUUCGUACAAGGUCAAAAAAAGAAGAAAGUCUUUCAGGAAAGAUCAAACUUAUGAUUGAUGAGCAGAUGGAUAUUUUAAAUGAUGACAUCUUUAAUACAAAACUAGAAAGUUUAAGCAGAAGAGUUGAACAAGUACAAUGCAAAAAAAACCAUGAAGAAAUAGCUAAAGCAUUCCUAAAGAAAGUAUCAAAACUUGAGAGACAUAUUAAUGCUGCAAUAGCCUUUCAGGAGAAAGUGGCUGCUCAUCAGACAAUCCUUCCAAGUCCAGACUAUGAAAAACCAGUACUAAACCAGCUUGGACCUUCUGCUUUCUGUCCUGAGGUCAUAAAUACACCAAUAAAUUCCUCAAGUGCACUUUCGCUGUCACCUAACACUGGUUUCACUUCAGCAUAUGUUUCAGAAUAUAUAAGUUCUGAUGAAGUCAUACUGGUCUCCGUGGAAAAUAAAAAUUCAGCAACUGAAAAUAAUUCAGCUAUUCCAAAUAACCAAAUGUCUACUCAAGCAGAAAUAUCAGCAACAGUUCAGAGUGAAAAGAAGGAAAGAAAACGCAAAGUGAUCAAACUAACAGAAGUAAACCACAACUGUAGCAAAGGGUAUAAAGGACCAGUUCACUGUUAGCAGCAAAAGGAGUCCGGGAGAUACACUGAGGAUAUGAUCGCUGGUGUUCCCUCAUCUGUUGUUGCACACAAACUUUCAAGCAAUUUCCACAUCUUCCUGCACUGCCAAGGAUCCCCCAUUGUCCAGAGCUCACUGAAGAAUUCAAAGACUCUCCUCAGA